CCUGUUUGAAGAUGGAAUUAUCUAUGAGUACGCUGAAGAUGACCGGCUUCAUAAAUUAGUCUGGCUAAUGAUACAUGGGUGAUUACUGGGUGACAGGCAACAUACAAUGGAUUUCACCAGUACUACCUCCAGUCCCAGUGACCUUUUCUCCGAUAUGGAUGUCACUAUGUUGCUCAGGCUGACCUUGAACUCCAGGCCUCAAGUGAUCCUCCUGUCUUGGCCUCCCAAAGUGCUGAGAUUACAAGCAUGAGCAACUGCACCCAGGGUCAUGAUUCUUAUUACGUCCAUUUCACAGACGAAGAACUCAAGAUAAGGAUGAACUGGUCUGUUCUGCCUGGUCCUGGGUCGUCUAUAGUCCAGGGAAAUUUGGAAGGAACAACGAGUUGCAGAAUCUUCCAUGGAUUGGAUUUUCUCAAGAUGAUGGAGCACCUGAUUCUCUACUUGCCUCCUGCUCAUAAUAUUCUGUGUGUAUCAUGGCCUAGCCGGAGGAGAGGAGGCCAAAGCAGAUGUUAAAAAUAAAACUUAUGAAUGGAUUAACAAAUUGUGGUAUAUGUAUGCCGUGGAAUACUAUGCAGCCAUAAAAAGGAUAGAGACUUUACAUCUUUUACGUUUACAUGGAUGGAACUGAAACAUACUCUUUUUAGUAAAACUUCUCAAGAAUGGAAAAAAAAGUAUCCAACGUACCCAAUAUAUAAUCACCUACACAUUUAUAGAUAAAUGAUAAAAU